CUGCAUGCUAAUCAUUAGUGGCUGCAGGUCAGCCGUCCGGGGUCACACCAAAAAAGGCAGAAACUCUGUUUUGGCCAUGCAUCUUCUCAAAAGCGUCCAGAGCAUAUUGGAGCUGCAUCUGCUCCUGCAGGAACAGUAGAUUUCCAGACGUUGUGGAGAAAGUUAAGGUUUGCUGAAAAAGAAAGUGAGUUCUGCAACCAGAAUGACAAACUACACCAGCGGCUGAAAAGGCACAUCCUGCACACGUGCAGGCAGAGCUCCUCUGGAGAAGGCAGAGGCUGUGGGUUUGAGGGGAAACGGGUGAGCAGGCGGCAGUUAGAGAAGGGGUGUGGAAAAUGUGCAGGGAGGGGGGCGACUGAAGAAGUCCAGCCAUAUAAAAAGGGAGACAGAACACAGGCCGUGCUUUAUUCUCCCCGUCUGUCCUGCUCGCUCAGACCUCACAGGAAACCUCCAACUCCCCCGGCUCUCCAGCUCGCCUCCACUUCCCACACUUUUUUGAACUUUCUCAGGCGGUCCCGCCAGCUGUGCUUCAUCUGGGAGGAUGGCUACGUCCAUGCUGGGAAUGAAUGGGCUCUGCAGAAUAGCUGGAGCUCUGCUGCUCUUCGCUCUACUGAGUGAAGUGAUGUGUCAAGACAAUACCAACUCCACUAAUCAAGGUGCAGCAAAAACAUCCCAUCAGCCCUGCUUUGCUGAUAAAAAAAAAAAAACCUUUACAAAGAUAGUCACUUUUUAGUAGGACAUAGCUACAAAAAUACUUCCUAACACAAAAAUUAUCUCCUAAAAAGCCUCUAAAGCCUUCUCUUUGUAUUGUGUUUUUAUUUAAAGGUGCCAACUCCACCCAAGAUGGAGACACCCCCCAGUCUGGUGGAGCCACAGCAUCACCAUCGGCUUUACCUAUGAAUGAAUCACAGCUGAUUAACAAAACGGUGCCAGCGCUCAGUGAAGGGAUUCCCAUUGAUGGCCCUGUGGAUAAAGGCUCUGCAGAGGUUUUAGCUGGUGCAGAGACAAUAGACUUGCUGCCUCUUAAAGAAGUUGUGGUAAGUGUUGGAAUUUCCCAUCAUCGAUGGGAUCCCAUGUCCCGCUGUAGACAACAGCUUUACCAAGUGAAGAGACUAAAUUUGUUGGGUUUUAACCAAGAAUGAUUCUUUCCGCAGCCUGACGUGAAGUGCGUUGGAAAGGAGGACCUGCACACAAGCACUGUGAAGGCUGAAAUCCAAACGAAAGACUGUGUGAGUUCAAACUUCUCAGACCUUUACAACAUUCAAGCUGUUGGCUCUACACAAUCUCUUUUCAGGGGUUUUCUUGACUGAUACACAUGAAACAAUGACUAAAAAUAAAAAAAAAAUAAACUUAAGCUGUUAGAGCAGGGUAGGGCAGUGGUGUAGUGGUCUGCACUCUCACCUUACUGUGAGAAGGAACUGGUUUGACUCCCAUGGCUGGGUCUUUUCCCCAGGCACAGUCCAAAAAAUGCUUCAUAGGUUACUUGGUAUCCCUAAAUUGUCUCUAGGUGUGUAACAGAAGCUCGGAUAGGCUCCAGCAACGCUGAGACCCCCUGAGAGGGUUGAUCCAGGUUUGGAAGAUGGAUAUUACAGUUGGACAAUAGUUACUAUAGCUACAGAAAUAUAUAGGAUGAACUCUCUGACCUAUAGCCACCCUCCUUCAUUUUUUUUACAUUUGUUAACACAAGCAAUUUCUAAGUACUCUCAUGUGUAAAGGAUAUGACUCAAACUUCAUGUAGCUGCAGCUUUCAGUCUAGGAACUACAGCAAUAGUAUCAUGUAAUGUGGCGUGUGACGGUUCACAAAUAAAAAAGGAGUGCAGCUUCAUGUGAAGAGCUCUGCAGCUUGAAUUCUGCCUCCUGCUUCUUUUUUUUUCUCCAGCUGUGGGUCCACUCCCAGCUAAGAGAGGAUUUGGGGUUUGGGGGAUUUGGAGAGCGUCUUCUGGGGCUGCUAGAAGACGUCUGGAUCCCAUUACUGAAAAAUGACGUGCAUGCAGUUGUGCAAGGAAGUGAUAUCAUAAUUUUGGGAUGAGACUAGAAAUAAAAAGAAAGAAAAAACAGGUGUGGUCAGUGAGGUUCUGGAGCUGUGCAUCAUCCUAGUUUCGUUAAAGUAUUUUUUUGCUCCUUCACCCUGUGUUUCGCUACUUUUACUAAGACUAACAUUAGAAAUAAAAUGUUAAUGUAUUCUGUUUCUCUACAUGUACUCUUAUAGGAGGCAACAAAGAAUAUUAUUGAGGAAAACCCUGCAGGCUGGUGCCAUCAGGAAAGCUGUCAGCUAAAAAUUUUCCAAGACGGGAAAACCAUCUUUGUGUCCAGCAAUGAUAGUAAGUAUCAGUCAGAGGCUGUAUAAAAUCUAUUACUUGAAAUUGAAUGUUUUUUUCCUGACAAGAAAACCUGAUUUUUUACUUUAUUUUAUCUGCAGCUAAGCCAGGUACAUUAGUGAAUGCACUCCAGAGUGAAAAACUGAAGAAUAAGGUAAGACAUUCCAACAGAAUUAAGGAUUUUCACAUAACUGUACAAAUACACUGGAGACAUUGUGAAAAAUUCAGUGGAUUGGUUUCUGUUUCACCUCACAGAUUUUUGGUUAAGGGGUCAAUUAUGUGUGGGUGAUCUGCACACCCCCUGUUGUGUUUUCCAUAUAAUGGUCUCACUGUGUGUAAUUUGAUUUACUUAUUAGGACCAAAAACUUCUCAAAGAAAAACCUUUUAAAUGUUGCAUUAAUUUCAACACUCUGUGGGUAUAAAAAGCUGAUUUAUCGAGUAAGUUCAUCAUUCCAAUAGUCAUGGACACACAACGUCACUUAACGGACGAGCAGCGUCACCUGGCCACACAGCGCCUUCA
rnacentral:lncRNA from 1 species